UACAUGCAAGUCGAACGCACUCUCGUUUUAGAUUGAAGGAGCUUGCUCCUGAUUGAUAACAUUGAGUGAGUGGCGGGCGGGUGAGUAACACGUGGGUAACCUGCCCUAAAGUGGGGGAUAACAUUUGGAAACAGAUGCUAAUACCGCAUAAAACCUAACACCGCAUGGUGUAGGGUUGAAAGAUGGUUUCGGCUAUCACUUUAGGAUGGACCCGCGGUGCAUUAGUUAGUUGGUGAGGUAAAGGCUCACCAAGACCGUGAUGCAUAGCCGACCUGAGAGGGUAAUCGGCCACACUGGGACUGAGACACGGCCCAGACUCCUACGGGAGGCAGCAGUAGGGAAUCUUCCACAAUGGACGAAAGUCUGAUGGAGCAACGCCGCGUGAGUGAAGAAGGUUUUCGGAUCGUAAAACUCUGUUGUUGGAGAAGAAUGUAUCUGAUAGUAACUGAUCAGGUAGUGACGGUAUCCAACCAGAAAGCCACGGCUAACUACGUG
rnacentral:rRNA from 1 species